UUUUCCUACGGGGGGCAGCAGUGGGGGAUAUUGCACAAUGGGGGAAACCCUGAUGCAGCGACGCCGCGUGGGCGAAGAAGUAUUUCGGUAUGUAAAGCCCUAUCAGCAGGGAAGAAGAAAUGACGGUACCUGAGUAAGAAGCACCGGCUAAAUACGUGCCAGCAGCCGCGGUAAUACGUAUGGGGCAAGCGUUAUCCGGAUUUACUGGGUGUAAAGGGAGCGUAGGCGGCAGGGCAAGCCUGAUGUGAAAGCCCGGGGCUCAACCCCGGGACUGCAUUGGGAACUGCCCCGCUCGAGUGCCGGAG
rnacentral:rRNA from 1 species